rnacentral:rRNA from 1 species
AUUGAACGCUGGCGGCAGGCCUAACACAUGCAAGUCGAGCGGAUGAAGGGAGCUUGCUCCUGGAUUCAGCGGCGGACGGGGGAGUAAUGCCUAGGAAUCUGCCUGGUAGUGGGGGAUAACGUCCGGAAACGGGCGCUAAUACCGCAUACGUCCUGAGGGAGAAAGUGGGGGAUCUUCGGACCUCAUGCUAUCAGAUGAGCCUAGGUCGGAUUAGCUAGUUGGUGGGGUAAAGGCCUACCAAGGCGACGAUCCGUAACUGGUCUGAGAGGAUGAUCAGUCACACUGGAACUGAGACACGGUCCAGACUCCUACGGGAGGCAGCAGUGGGGAAUAUUGGACAAUGGGCGAAAGCCUGAUCCAGUCAUGCCGCGUGUGUGAAGAAGGUCUUCGGAUUGUAAAGCCCUUUAAGUUGGGAGGAAGGGCAGUAAGUUAAUACCUUGCUGUUUUGACGGUACCAACAGAAUAAGCACCGGCUAACUUCGUG